AGCGAGAAGGGAGUAAAUAUUUUUGGCUGAUACAUCAGAAAGCUUCAGAGAUAAGGGACAAUGCAGCUAGCCAAGCUCUGACAACCCUCCUCCAGGGCCGCUGUAGAAAGCAGAGCAGCAAAAUGCUAUUCUGAUAAGAAGAGAAGGCCAGGACUUUGAUCAUGGAGGGUUUUAAUUACUGAGGCUGGAAUUGUGAUUACUACGCGAUUUUAAAGAAACUGUUUUUGUAGAUAGUGCAGGAUCGCUCUCCAACACAAUUUGUUGAACAGUCUCCAUGGUCAGAGGCUGUUUGGGGAACCCAUCUGGUGAACGAGACACAUAUAAUUAAUAAAGACGGGUGCGUAGGAUCUGGCGAUCACAGAGUCAUUUCAAAUACGUCGUUUGUAUUGUUGAGAGAAUGACUGUGAGGAGGAAGUCCUGGAAGGCUCUGAGGAUGGUUGAAUAUUAAUUGCAAACAGCUCAGCUCAGCGUCUUAGUGUGGUUUCAAAUAUGCAGGGAACUGUAGGCAACAGCACAGUUGAGAUCCAAUGUAAUUAAGCAGAAAGAUAGAAACCAAUAAAACAAGUGAAUAUGGCGGAUUGGUCAAAAGCAAAGUGGAGCUGCAGCUACGCACAGGAGAAUUUCCAAACCGAGGUCUCAAAAGAGACUAGGUCAGCAAAAUAAGACCGCUUAGUGGGAUGAAGCUAGGUCAGUAGGCAAGCUCUUGGGUUACACAGAGAUCCUCCUCAGGCGGGAUGAUCAUGGAAAAAAUUUAAAAGGAGGAAAAACCCAGAUAUUCCUGAGUGAGCAUCCAAUGUCAUAGUAUCUCCUUCUCUGGCAAGUAAAGACCAGGCUACAUUUAGAAGUGCUCUCAGGUGGGGACAAGCGUGAUUCACUCAGUUCGUUAAGGAACAACAAAUAACCGAAGAAUAUGAAGAAUUAUAUAUUUACUUCUUGUAAAAACCAAAGGAGGCAAGGCAUGCGGAUGGACGCAGGAAGGAUAAACAAGAUGUAGAGAUCUAUUGUUGCUGUUACCACAUUUCACCUAAUGGCUUCCAGCUCAGUUCUCCAACUUCUCCUGUGAAAUGUUUGCAGUAUUUUGCUGUCGCUCCAAGCAAUGUCAUCUUCUACAUAUUUGAAGUAAGUGCAGCAUAAAGAAAAAGGACUCUCUCUUGGCUUAUUCCCCGACUGCAUCUUCCCUAAGGCUUCCAGAAUGAGUCUCUUGGUUAGAACCAGUCACUGCAAAUCAACCAUGUAGGCUUCAGGACUUUAGGAAAACAACCAUCCAGCUUCAAACCAGCCUUAAACUUGCAUGUUGACACACACAAAAAGUUGUACAAACUGCAAAACAGUCUCAGCUCAGUGUGAUCCCUGAGUUGCUUUCAGCUCACCAUAAAAAGAAAGAAAGAAAGAAAGAAAGAAAGAAAGAAAGAAAGAAAGAAAGAAAGAAAGAAAGAAAGAAAGCCUCAUCUCAUGCUGGGAAAGACAGUCAUGGAGACUUGGAAGGAAGUGGGUUUUGUCCCACCACCCUCUACACCAGCGCUUGGUCUUGCAACCCCAUGAAAAACGUGAAGUUUCGAUCACUUUCAGUGUUUGAAAACUCAAGUGUUUAGCUUAUAAUCAGGGAAGAAUAUCUGCUGGAGAUAUGUGAGAGGAAAAUCAGAGUACACAAGAAGCUGAGAAAAGGAAGGAUCGGCAGGGUGCAAGGGAAACAACACAGAGCCUGAGGAUACAACAUACAGCUGACAGAAAAGGGGAAAUGGUUACCUGCCGUGUUUAAACACACUUUUAGACUGCUGAAUCAGAACUAAACAACUUAAAAAGCAGAGCGAGAUGAGAUUUUUGCUGGGAUCAUUGGAAACGCCUGGGUUGGCACUCAAAGCCGUCUCUGACAAUGGCUCUCAAGUUAUUUUUAUACAGUGCCAAUGAACUUUAGAGCAGAGAAAUCAAAUUCACACUUGUCCAAACCCAUGUUUGGGAUGUUCAGUCCUUCCCGAUGCUCCUUUGUCAGGGCGUAUAAUAAAACGCGAUUG